GCCGAUCAGAUACACUGCUGUGGCACAGUUUGGGAUUGAUCACAUGCUGAAGCCAAUCAUACAAGAUUUAAAGAAGCUAGAAUCAGCAAUUGGUGUGGUGUGCCAUUCCGUGGGUGUUGUUUCCGCUGACAAUCGGUGGCUUCAAGGAGAGUGCUUCUGCAUUUAGAUUCUGUCGACAUAGUGCGUCAGAUAUUCAAACCAAGCGUAGUGUCGGAUCAUUGUGAUCUUUUGGAGCGUGAUGACUUGACAAAUGCUGAUCGACACCACUAUUCUAUUGUUAACAGACGUGCCUUGUUAGAUACGCUGGAUUUUUUCAGUGUCUCUGGCAUCUUGGAAGGCGCUCUUCCAUUAGAAGUCAAGCUCAUGCCGUACAUAAUUAUGUAAACUGGAUCAUACUCUAUAUAAGCGUUGCGUAACCUCUUGGUAUCAGGUUUAUAUGGAAGACUUUUCACCCUCGAUAUACAAUUGAGAGGGUUUCAAGAAGUUGAUCUUCAGAUUCUAAUCUGCAUCCACAUGGUAAAGCACACAUCUAUGUGGUGUGUGUGGUUGGUCCCUUUUGAUGCGUACUCCUUGUUUCAUGUACCUACAUGUAGCUAUACGUACAUUAUGUCACAUUGUAGCACAAUACUAUUAGCUACGUGCUAGCUAGAAUAUAAUUGCUACAUUCAGGUUUAUAAUUCCACAGCAAUGCCCCUUGUCAUUGGUCACUUGACAAUGAGCACUGGGGAAACUUUUUAUGCCUUUUUAUGCCUUCUGGACAUAAUGGAUAUUAUCUUUGUGGAGCAUCAGCAUGUGGUGACCUGGAGGCUCUAAUUAGUGACCACCACUCCACUUUUAUGGAGCUCUACCCACAUGCGUCAAUCACUAUGAAGAUGCAAUAUGCCAAGACUUUUGUUGGAGUGAGUCUGAUGUUAAUGUUUGUUUACAUGUAAAGUGUACAGUUGUAACUGCACUAUUCGAUCAUGUAAACUGAUACUUGAGUUGGACCACUUGUCAACACUGGACUACACGAUUCGAGGCCAAGCAUGGGAAAUUUCACUAACAUUUGUUAUUCACUCGCAUUAUUCACUCGCAUUACAACUAAUGCUACCUUUCAUUAAAUCGUGACACGGUCCAGGUACAUUAUAUUAUAGUAUAAUUGUAUACAUGUACGUACAAUAGCUAUAGGGUACCGUGGAACAUGCAAUUGUCUGUUCGUCUUUAUGUUGAAUGUUGAUUGCAAUGAAGGUAUUUAAAAUACUUUUCCCUCUCUUCCACUGUGGAUGUCGACAUCUGUAAGUCAACAAAGAUGUGUGACAUGCCCUAGCUGUCUCUAAUGGUACAAAACACCUUGUGGAUUGAUUGUCAAAAUUGAAGAUGAAGACCCUCUGAUUGGAAAUAUUCACAGCAUACUUAUGUCCGGUGAAAAUGUCUUUUUAAAUCUGGAUAUAUAAAUCUGGGUGUGGAUAUGGACAUGGAUUUAUAAAUCUGGGCAUAGAUAUAGGCAUAGGCAUGGACUGAGCAUAGCAUAGAUAUAAAUCUUGGCAUGGAUUUAUAAAUACAGACAUGGAUUUAUAGAUAUUAUCUGGACAUGGAAUACAGACAUGCACUGGGUGUCACAGCAACACCGGGGUGUCGAUUUUUCUGGUGCUACUGCAACACCGUGGUACUCUAGUAACACCAUGGUGUUAUACCAAUACCAAUACCAAUUACGGGUGUUGCUACAACACCAGGUGUCAAAAGAAGUUUAAAUUGCACCACAAUGGUGCUACAAGCACUCUAGUGAUGUGUUAAUUGACAAAAAUAAUUAUUGUACACCAGCACAAACUGUACCUAAGGAUACAGAACCCCUAAGGAUACAGAACUGAGAAGGUAAAGUAGUAGAAAUAUUUGGGCAGUGAUACAAGCUGGUAACUAAUUUUUGCCGAACAAGAUAAUGUUGACGGGAAGAUGAAGAGAACGAGACAGUAUAUGCAUGAUAGUGUUAAAGAAAAACAGUAUCCAUCAGUUCCAUUUCAUAUAUCUAUGCUAUGCUCAGUCCAUGCCUAUAUCUAUGCCAAAAUUUUAUACAUUAUAUAUCCAUGUCCAGAUUUAUAAAUCCACACCAUAAUCCACACCAUAUCCAUGUCCAGAUUUAUAUAUCCAUGUCCAGAUUUAUAUGUCCAUGUCCAGAUUUAUAUAUCCAUGUCCAGAUUUAUAAAUCCAAUCCAAGUCAUAUCCACACCCAGAUUUAUAUAUCCAUGUCCAGAUUUAUAAAUCCAUGUCAGAUUAUAUAUCCACACCCAGAUUUAUAUAUCCAUGUCCAGAUUUAUAUAAUCCACACCCAAGAUGUCAUGUGACACUCAUGUGAUAGUUUACAGCACAUGGCUAGUCUCAACAACUUAGUCCAAGGAAGGAUGGCCCAAACACCAACUACUUCUACUCAAAACCUAACAGUGAAUGUAAAUGCCCUCUCGAAUGCAGCCUCAGACAGUACCAGCAGCUCACAGUCUCCUGUAUCAGCGACCAGUCGUGAUGGUACAUAUGCUGUUAUUUCGGCAGCCAGACGUUUUGUCGGAGGAGGGAAACUAUACAUGCUCUUGUAGUGUCAAUUUGGCAUAGAUGUAGAAAUGUCAGUGAACACUAUUCUGCCUUCUUACCUGAAGAGGAGAAGAAGCAAUGCCAGUGGAGGAGGAGGGAAAAAAAAACCAAAGUCCAGCAUUAUGAUCGAGAUAUUAUUUGCAUACCGGACGAAUAUGAUGCGAGCGGAAAGUUUCGAGCUAAAUUGGCAUCAUCUGGUUUGGUUGGCAAGCUUUUUGUGGAAGAUGAGAUCUGUUCCGUUUUCAGUAAACCUAUGGGAGGGAGAAUGGACUUUCCUUUUAUCUAUCUCCAAGCAACAGGUGCAGGGUCGCGGACCCUAACAGCUCCUAACAGCUCCUUCAGUAUCACCAUCGUUCAGGUGGACUGCUCCACAGGUAGCGAUCAAGCUGUUUAUAUAAUGGCCAAGGACAAACUCAUUGACAUGUACGAAUUAAGUGUUAUGAAGAGUAUAAAAAUUAUAGCACAGUUACAAAUGUGUCUGUAAUUGUGUAAUUAAGAAUUAGCUUACACUUGUCAUGUGGUAUUAUAUAUAAUAUAUGAUAGUACUUAGGAAAAGGGCGGCAUUAUUCAUUUUGCAGUAUAAGCAAAAACGUCCAAAAAUAUGCACUGCACUAUACAUACAUCCAUCAAAUUCCAGAUUUUUUCAUAGACACGCAGAUUGACACCUCCCCUAGCUGUGCACAAAGUUUUAGCGUCUUUCUUUCCAACCGAGGGAGCAGACAGCUACAUAAAGAGACUUUUUUACUUCCAGUCUACGGUAUUUACGUUGUCGUGACACGGAGAUUUUCUACUAGUUUACGGAAAUUACCGUAAAAAUAUAUUUUUUGAAGAUGCUGCAGCUGCGCUCUAGUUUCUGCUUAGUUUCUGCUUAGUUACAGAAACCAGGCUGAUUUAAGCCACCUCUUCUGCGAAGAAAAUAACCAAGCCAAGUGCCGAUUACUGCCUGGAUGAUGAAGACUUCGAUAGAGAGAGUGGAGAGGCUCCACCUGCAGGGCAACAGAUUGCCCACACUCUUGCACGAUUGCCACCAUUGCCACCACAGAAUCCAACAGGGUGUGACUUCUCGACCAGACAGAGCACGACAGAAUAUAAACGUUUUUAGACGGGUGUUCGGGACACAACGGUAUCCUCUCCCAACGACGUCCUUGAAUUUAGGAGUGACUGCAGCGAUAGGACUUGAUCAUUCUUGGCAAACUCAGUGCAAGCAUGAGCGUGAUUGGCGGUUUGGUGGGCAGACUUCGCAGACUUCACAAACACGUAGACACACCAAGGUCACGUUGCGUAUGCUCGUUGCGUAUGCUCAUCAAGGGUGGCCAAUAUGUUCUUCAAUGUUCUUCAAUGUUCCGUUUCUUGCACACAGUUGGUAAGAAAUAAUAAUAACAUCAACACAUAAAAAUUAGAAAAAAGAGGAUGAAGAACCUGGCCAAGACAAAUGGGCUUGUUCCUAGGGUACAUGGUAACAAACACCGCCUACCAAAGAAUACCCUAUCCCACGAGGACAUUAAGGAAAUUGUGGUAGGUAUAACUUAAGUACUAUUAUUGAACACCGCAAAAAAGCACAUUUCUCACCAAUUACACCGAGCGUUCCGAGAUACAGCGGCACUGAUAUCAAGCUGCUUGUCGAAGCGAGGCAGUACCAGAGUUCCACAAUGGCAACAGGAGGAAGGGCGUCAGCAUACACAACAUUCUGCAGGUCUCCUUCCUGCAGUUGUGGUGAUGAAACCCAUGUCCGACCUGUGCUGGCACGUCCAGCCAGCAACACAGCGCUGGAGCCACAAACAGUGACAUAGAGAAGUCGUCAGCACUACAGGAGUACCUGGAUCACUUGUAGUACACCAAGCAAUGUAAGGAGUCUGUGAAGAAGCAUUAGGUAUUCUUACUGCUCCUCCACUGAACUCCUCCACUGAACUGCUGUGUUCCUCCUAACUCUGUGGAUAUUGAGGCACACUACUCAUUUGAUUUUGCACAGCAGGUCCACUAUCCGUCCAACCCUCUCCAACCUGGUCCUGCCCUUUUUGGUCUCCAGAACGAGGCUUUUCCACGCCAGGUGUUCUUCUUAAUUGAUGAGUCUGGAGAUUGUGAGAAGGGGGCAAACGUCUACUCCACUACUACUUUGAACACCAUGGUCUAGGUGAGAAGACUGACAACUGUGUCGGACAGAACAAAAACAACUAUGUUCUGUCGUACCUUCUUUGGAGAGUGAUGACUGGCAGACACACACAGAUCACACUCAGCUUUUUAGUGGUCGGACACAUUAGUGGUCGGACACAUGAAGUUCGCUCCUGACUGGAGUUUCGGACUUUUUAAGAGGCGAGGACUGACAUUGGCUGUCUCCAAAACAUCGUAGAUGACUGGAGUUUCGGACUUUUUAAGAGGCGAGGACUGACAUUGGCUGUCGUAGAUGUUGUCAACAAGUCUGGCAGAUGCAACACAGCCCAACUGGUAGCAGAGGGGACCAUUGUACCAACCUACGACUUCUUGAUUCCUCACUUCAGGAAACUGAUCGGGGGCCACCACUUCAGAGUACACUGCCGGGGUAGUGUUCAUGAAGCAGAGGGUAGAC